AAACCGCCCCUUAAGUUUUGCAACUGUGCCAGUUUUGGUCCCCAAGGUCAAUUUUUGGAAGAAAAAAAAAUAACACGUGGACUUAGGGUGCCACAUCAACGUAGACCGAGUCAAAAUUGACAUUGGGGACCAAAACUGCCACAGAUGCAAAACUUAGGGGGCGGUUU
rnacentral:pre_miRNA from 1 species